AUGUUUGGGUAAAAUACUGCUUUUUAAAAUUCAAUUUUUGAUUGCUUAUUGAUAGCAUAUAGAAAUAAAAUUGAUAUUUGUAUAUUAAUCUUAUAUCCUACAACCUUGCUAAACUCACUUCUUAGUUCUAAUAGUAGUAUUUUGUAGAUUUCAUCAGAUUUUUUUCAUAGAGAAUCAUUGCUUGUGAAUACAGAGAUUUAACUUUUUCUGCAGAGUGGAGUAUUUUCGUUUUAUCUUGCCUGAUCACACUACCUGAAACCUCCAGUACUUGCUAUGGUCAGUUGGAUAGGAGUGCUAAGAGCAGACAUCCUUGUAUUGUUCCUGAUCUAUGGAAGAAAGCAUUUUCUUUCACUCUAUUACGAUGUUAGCUGAAAGCAUUUCAUUGAUGCCCAUUACCAGGUGGAGGAUUUUUAGUUUGCUAAGAGUUUUUCUCAGGAAUGGAAGUUGGAUUUAUCAAUGCCUAUUUUGUAUCUGUGAGUUUUGGGUUUUGGUGUUUAGUUUGUUAGUAUAAUGAAUUACAUUGAUUGCCUUUUGAAGAUUAAAACCAAUCCUACAUUCCUGGGAUAAACCCCAGUUAUGUAUUCUUUAAAUUAUGUUUGGAUUUGAUUUACUAAAAUUAAAAUUUUUUUUAAACAUUUAUGUCAUGAGCCUAUUCCUGACAUUUCUAGGUCCUGAAAUGUUUGUUAAUACCAAAUGUUUUUCUUCUAUGGCACUAAGAUCAAGAUACAACAAUUGACAUUCAUAAUAGGUUUUCAAGAAGGAAUGGAGGAACACUUGAAUGGUAAAUAUGAAGCCAUGGUUUUACCACAUGACCUCCCCCGGGCCCUUCUACGUGAGGCGAUGAGUAGUAAGCCAUUUCUCUGGAGAAGCUAAAUUAAGAGUCCAGUCAGAAGACAUUCCCAGGCUCGGUCAGGACCCGGCUGCCACUGCUCUGGAGACUGGACACCAGUUAGACCUGGAACCCUGGACUCACCAGCAUGCCUCCACGGGAGACCUCCCCACAGGGACUGACCACCUGCCUGACAGGUCUGUUCUCUGGUGGGAGCCUGUGAGGAAUGAAGUCAGCUUCCCUCUCCUGUAGAGUGAAAGCCAGUCUAUAAAGCCCUCCUUGGUCUCCAGUACCCUCGUCUAUUGCUCUUCUCUUGCCCCACCCUGCUCCAGCCACGGGCUAUUCCCUUCUCUCAGAAUACUCUGCCUCAAGUCCACCGAGUGCCUCACCUGCUCCACGUCUUAGCGUGUAAGUCAUUUCUCCAGGGGCCCGGCUGCCCUCCCUAUGUAAGCCAACCAAUCUAGCCCACGUGCCCAUUUAAAAGUCUUUUACCAUAAUCGUUGUUAUACGUACUGCUUAUUGUCUUGAUGAAUCUGCUCCAAGAGCCUAGACCUAGAAUCUAGACUAGCCUGGUGCCUGGCAUUAAAGCUAAUACUCCACAGCUGGUUGCUGAAUGGGCGGCUGGCAGUGUGGCAUGCUGUUCCUGGUAUAGAGUGUUUUGGGCAACAGGAGUUGAAUUCUGGUUGUCACUUAGCAGAGGUCCAACCUCUUUGAACCUGUUUUCUCAUAUGUAACAUGGGAACCUACCUCAAAUGAAUUCCUGGUGAAGAGUAAAUGGGAGAAUGUGCUGAAUAAGCUCCAUUGCCAUUUCCUCGCUCUUUCCUGCCCACCCUUCCAAAUCUAUUAAAUGAUCUCCCAAGCCAAUAGAUUGCAAUGAACGUUUCCAUUUACUUUGGAUUAUAUGUCUUUACAAAUAUUAACAAAUGAGACUUAAAAAGGACACCUUUGGGUAGGUCAGACGAAAGUACAAAAAUUGUGUGUGGGGCUGCAGUUUAAGGAUGGUCUGCACCCGUCACAUGGUAGCAAAACAGUGUUAAGCAGUGCACGAGAGUCUGUGUCAAGGACAGCCAGAGUCCAUGCAUCGAGAGGUUCUCAGUUGGGCAGGAACAAAGACUGGACAUGCACGGGCCGGGGGGUGCAGUUCCUCGAUCUCACCCCUAGAGGUCAGGAGGUUGCCGCUUCAGGGUUGGAAGACUGGCCCGUCGGGACUGGCUAGUGCUGGCGUUGGGUGGGGCGGAGGUUAGGGAGGGAGGUGGUGGAGGUGGAUGCAGCGCAUUGGGAGACCCCCUGGUUACUGACACCUAACUUUGAAAUGACAUUUUUUCCUUUUUGGUGUCAGUUUCCCAUCUUUGUAGAUCUGAUGGGUCAGAGGAAAGAUGCCAGUUUGGGGGUCAAAGGCAGAGCUUUGCAGCUUCUCAAAGAGCUUUUUCUUUAACAGAGAUACAAUCUGCAAGUGGUUGAGAACAGCGCCAGGGUUCUGUGAAGGGCCACUCCCUGGGGGCCCUCCUGCUCCAGGGCCCCACCCUCCACUCCCGGUGGCUGUGCGCUGGAAGCCUUGCCUCCUGCGGUCGGCUGGGCCAUCUUGAGGGCCUCUGCACAGCCUGGGCAGCAGAGGGCCCCGGACUGGGUGCUGGGAGUCCUGGGCUCUUGCCCAGCCGAGCCUCGGUUUCCCUGUGUGUCUCGUAAGGAAGUUGUUCCAGGUGGACUCACAGCCCUUUCCAGCUUUGCCUCUCAGCAUUUCUGUUUUUACAGAGGCUGCGGGUCUGCUCUCUGAAUAAGGCCCUCCGAAAAGCAAAGUUAAGAUACCCAGAGCUCGCCCAAACACAAGGGUUGUGAAGAUCCAUUUGAGACAGUGCACAAAGCCUUCUUAAGGAUGGGAAAACCAAGGUUCCAUGACCAGCCAAGCUUGCCAGGUACUGUGGGGGCUGCGGUCCCGAGUUCCCUGCAGACUGGGGCAGGGCUGACGGGCACUUGGUGGGGAUUCACAUCAUUACCCCAGGCCUCGGAUGGUGGUGUGCUUUGUUUGCAGCAGCAGGUCAACCCCUGUGAGCCCUGCUGCUGCCGUUGGUGUGUGUGGGCAGCAGGCAGGGCACAGCCCCAGGCUGGCAGCUAGCAGGAACUCUCGUGUGUCCAGAGCACUGGGCUGGGGUGGGACGGGGGCCAUGGCGCCUGGUCUGCCUUAGUUGUGGAAACGCUGCAAGGCCUUUCCCUCUGUGGGUUCCCUCUCCCGUCAGUGCAGUGACUGAACACAAAUUCCUUGGUGAUGCAUUUUUUUCAUCCAGAAUUCCUGAAGGCCCCUUGGUAAGCAG